ensembl:piRNA 21ur-12104 ncRNA
UUAUGAACAUAAUGAAACAGU